rnacentral:rRNA from 1 species
GUGCCUAAUACAUGCAAGUCGAGCGGACUGAUGGGAGCUUGCUCCCUGAAGUCAGCGGCGGACGGGUGAGUAACACGUGGGUAACCUGCCUGUAAGACUGGGAUAACUCCGGGAAACCGGGGCUAAUACCGGAUAGUUCUUUUCCUCGCAUGAGGAAAAGUGGAAAGGCGGCUUCGGCUGCCACUUACAGAUGGACCCGCGGCGCAUUAGCUAGUUGGUGAGGUAACGGCUCACCAAGGCAACGAUGCGUAGCCGACCUGAGAGGGUGAUCGGCCACACUGGGACUGAGACACGGCCCAGACUCCUACGGGAGGCAGCAGUAGGGAAUCUUCCGCAAUGGACGAAAGUCUGACGGAGCAACGCCGCGUGAGUGAUGAAGGUUUUCGGAUCGUAAAGCUCUGUUGUUAGGGAAGAACAAGUGCCGUUCGAAUAGGGCGGCACCUUGACGGUACCUAACCAGAAAGCCACGGCUAACUACGUGCCAGCAGCCGCGGUAAUACGUAGGUGGCAAGCGUUGUCCGGAAUUAUUGGGCGUAAAGCGCGCGCAGGCGGUCUCUUAAGUCUGAUGUGAAAGCCCACGGCUCAACCGUGGAGGGUCAUUGGAAACUGGGGGACUUGAGUACAGAAGAGGAAAGUGGAAUUCCACGUGUAGCGGUGAAAUGCGUAGAUAUGUGGAGGAACACCAGUGGCGAAGCGACUUUCUGGUCUGUACUGACGCUGAGCGCGAAGC